CAGAUGGCUGAUGUAUGUAGCUCACUGAUGUCUGUGUAGAUAGGGAGCUGUGAUGAGAACAAGAGGUCAGAACACAUCUAGGCUCCUUAAGAGAAAGCCUUUCUUUAACUGUUUUUGAAACGCUUCAAAGGCAGAGACUUGUCCAGCCUAACCUCCCCGCUGCUCCUAUCUCCUUCCAGCGUUGCCACUCCUCAGCCAUGCUCCUGCUGCUCAUCCCAGUGCUUGAGGUGAUUUUUACCCUGGGAGGAACCAGAGCCCAGUCUGUGACCCAGCUUGACAGCCAGGUCUCUGUCUCUGAAGGAGUCCCUGUGCUGCUGAGGUGCAACUACUCAUCGUCUUUUUCACCAAGUCUCUUCUGGUACGUGCAAUACCCCAACCAAGGACUCCAACUUCUCCUGAAGUACAUAUCAGGGACCGCGCUGGUUAAAGGCAUCAAUGGUUUUGAGGCUGAAUUUAAGAAGAGUGAAACCACCUUCCACUUGACAAAAGCCUCAGCCCAUGUGAGCGACGCGGCUGAGUACUUCUGUGCUGUGAGUGAUCAGAAUAGUGGAGGUAGCAACUAUAAACUGACAUUUGGAAAAGGAACUCUCUUAACCGUGAAUCCAAAGGCCUGAGUCAAGGUUAUUGCAAUAGCACUAAACACUGUGUAACACCAAUGCAGGCAAAUUAACCUUUGGGGAUGGGACUACGCUCAUUGUGAAGCCAA